GCCUGGGUGGCUCAGGGGGUUAAGCGUCUGCCUUCCACUCAGGUCAUGAUCACAGGGUCCUGGGAUCGACUCCCACCUCAGGCU
rnacentral:tRNA from 1 species